rnacentral:rRNA from 1 species
UACAGAGGGUGCGAGCGUUGUCCGGAAUCACUGGGCGUAAAGGGCGCGUAGGCGGCUCAGUAAGGUUGCGGUGAAAGCCCGGGGCUCAACCCCGGGUCGGCCGUGGCAACUGCUGGGCUGGAGCACUGUAGAGGCAGGUGGAAUUCCGGGUGUAGCGGUGGAAUGCGUAGAGAUCCGGAAGAACACCGGUGGCGAAGGCGGCAAUCCUGGACCAACACGUGACACUGAGGAGCGAAAGCCAGG